UAUAUAAGGCACAAACCAACCCUAGGAGACCUUGAGUGGUGUGCCAUCUAGCAUAGAGGAGAGGGGGUCAAAUUCUCUCAUUCUCUCUUGACUUGGAGACCAAGUAGGGAUCAUUGGGGGCCAAUUUGAGGAGCUUUCCUAGAUAAUCGCCAUGGAAAUAUUGUUCUCUUCAUCAUCUCUUUCCAUUCCUAGACUCAAUAUCUCAUUUUUUUCCUUUUGUUCAUCUCCAUGGAAAGAGCUUUCGAAGUGCUCUUUACUCUCUUCCCCUAAGCAAAUUUUGCGGACUUCAAAGAGAAGAAGAAUAAAAGAUUUUGGAGUUGGAGUGGCUCACUCAGCGCGUCUAUACGUGCUAAGCGCAAGCAACACAACAAGGAAGGUCACAUGACAAGCAUUUGGAAGAAAAGAGGCCAAUUGGAAGUUCUUGAAGGCGCUCAAUGCGUCAAUACUUGCUAAGCUCAUUGUUUUCACAGUGAGGAUUUGGGCUCAGUGCAACAUGCUGGGCUAAGCCCACGGCCACUUAAUCUAAUGUUGCUUUUGCAUGUAUGCCACAUGUUGGGCUAAGCAAGCAGACGAUUAUGCAAUAACGACAACGUAGUGCAUUUGGCCCUAUUUAAGCUCCAUGUAUGCAAAUUGAAGGCAAAUUUGGUUGGGGGAGCUAUCUAGGGUUGAGGUGAAGACUAGGAAGCUCUCCCUUGCUCUUCAUGGCUUCCCUACCAUUUCUCAUUAUCUAUUUCAUCUAUUUUCUUCUUUUCUUCUUAUGAUUAUGUAGUUAGAUUUAUUCAUUUUGGAGAUUGAUGUAACUUAACUCUUUUUUAUGUUUACAUUUUAAUUAUUAAUUAAUGUUUAUUAUUCAUUAUUAAGUGUUA